UGCACAGCUAAGGUAUGCAAAAGAGCAUCUCUGAACACAUAAACCGUGAAGCAGAUGGGAUUUAGCAGAAGACGCUUGGCAAAAUGUUACUUUGUCUGCAGAUUCUCAAUUUCAGCUGCAACACUCAGAUGGUAGAGUCCGAAUUUGUUGUAAACAACAUAGAAGCAUGGCUUCAUCCUGCCUCGUAUCAAUGGUUCAGGUUGCUGGUGGUGUAAUGAUAUUUUCCUGGCACAUUCUGGUAUCUUGGCUAUUAUUUUAAAAAAUUCCCUGGUUAUUUUUUUUUUUUUUUACAUUUUCUCCCUUUACUGUACAUAUUGUGUAGUCUCCCAAAUGCAAUGUACUGCAAACUGCUGAUUCUGCAUCGUACAUACUGGUCCAGAAAAGAUGAACUAUUAUGCAGUUACUGCUGUGUAUUAUUUUACACAAAGCAGAGGGCGGGAAUGACAAAAUAUUUUUUUCAUACCAGAAAAAGCUGCGAUAUCAUAUGUUAUGGUGCAUCAUGGCCAUAUUUGGUCAAAGCUGAUAAAGCAAUGAGACUCGUUAACGUCAGAAACCAUCAACCAAGUCCAAGCCCUUAUAGAGAGUAAAGUUGAGAAAGAGAGCAUAGGCGACGUCAGUAUCCAUCAUAAACACAAACCUUUGACCAGUGAGCACGUGGCUUGCAGCAGCACAGUUUCUUCACUCUAUGUCCGGUUGUGCAGUCCUGUUCAAACAGAAGACACAAGCAAGACAGCGCUCCGAUGUGACAGUCGUACUUCUGCUCAUCAAAAGCUAUGGCAGUGGAAUCGACUGUUUCACCUGAACUCCACAGCCUCUCAUAUGUCCAGCACAGGGGCAGAUAUGAUGAAGUCCAAAAAUAUCAAAACGCGAGGAAGAGGAGCUCAAAAGAUUUUUACCCUCCUCUGAUGGCCUCUGUGAGGAGAUUCUCUGUGAGAAUCAGGGAUGGAGAAACUGAACAGACUUUGAGUCACACGGACAAUGUGUUAGCCUUUGUGGCCUUCCAGAUGUCAAAUAUAAGAAAAGAGGUGUUGGCUUUAUCGUCUGACAGGAAGCAGUCAGCUAGACAUCAACACCUAACAGACCCGACUGUCACCAUCUAUCAUUAAUAUGGCCUGUGAAACUGCUGCUCAUAAACUGGAAAUAUAAAACGAAAAGCCUUGCAUUUAUAACACGGAUGGACUAUUUCAGGCCUUGUAAAUAUGUACAAUAGUUUUUGCUACUAUAUUAAAAAAAUAUUUGUAAAUGG